UCUCUCACUGUAGCUUGGCCCCUGGUAUAUCAUCUCUCACUGUAGCUUGGCCCCCGGUAUAUCAUCUCUCACUGUAGCUUGGCCCCCGGUAUAUCAUCUCUCACUGUAGCUUGGCCCCCGGUAUAUCAUCUCUCACUGUAGGUAGCUUGGCCCCCGGUAUAUCAUCUCUCACUGUAGGUAGCUUGGCCCCCGGUAUAUCAUCUCUCACUGUAGCUUGGCCCCCGGUAUAUCAUCUCUCACUGUAGCUUGGCCCCCGGUAUAUCAUCUCUCACUGUAGCUUGGCCCCCGGUAUAUCAUCUCUCACUGUAGCUUGGCCCCCGGUAUAUCAUCUCUCACUGUAGCUUGGCCCCCGGUAUAUCAUCUCUCACUGUAGGUAGCUUGGCCCCCGGUAUAUCAUCUCUCACUGUAGGUAGCUUGGCCCCCGGUAUAUCAUCUCUCACUGUAGGUAGCUUGGCCCCCGGUAUAUCAUCUCUCACUGUAGGUAGCUUGGCCCCCGGUAUAUCAUCUCUCACUGUAGGUAGCUUGGCCCCCGGUAUAUCAUCUCUCACUGUAGGUAGCUUGGCCCCCGGUAUAUCAUCUCUCACUGUAGGUAGCUUGGCCCCUGGUAUAUCAUCUCUCACUGUAGCUUGGCCCCCAGUAUAUCAUCUCUCACUGUAGCUUGGCCCCCGGUAUAUCAUCUCUCACUGUAGCUUGGCCCCUGGUAUAUCAUCUCUCACUGUAGCUUGGCCCCUGGUAUAGCAUCUCUCACUGUAGCUUGGCCCCUGGUAUAUCAUCUCUCACUGUAGC